UGCUUAUUGCAGGACUUUUUGUAUCAUCGUGCUGCACUAUUAUAUUUGGAUUUCUUGAUCGGGCUCCUGCAGGACCUAUAUUCAUCAGUCUGUGCUUUAUUGUGAGGUCGCUUGACGCUGUCGGCUUUGGCGCUGCUACAAUGUCUGCUUUCGCCAUCACAGCACAAAUAUUCCCAAACAAUGUGGCAACUGUUUUGGGUAUUUUGGAGAUUUUUGCAGGACUCGGCCUUAUCCUGGGACCACCACUGGGAGGGUGGCUCUACCAGACUUUUGGAUACACUGUCCCUUUUUUAAGUCUUGGAUGCUUGCUGUUGAUUAUGGUUCCUUUCAACAUUUACGUCCUGCCGU